GCGGACGUGGCGAAACUGGUAGACGCAAGAGACUUAAAAUCUCUCGGCUUAGGUCAUGCGGGUUCGAUCCCCGCCGUCCGCACCA
rnacentral:tRNA from 2 species